AUUGAACGCUGGCGGCAUGCCUUACACAUGCAAGUCGAACGGCAGCGGGGACUUCGGUCCGCCGGCGAGUGGCGAACGGGUGAGUAAUGUAUCGGAACGUACCUUUCAGUGGGGGAUAACGUAGCGAAAGUUACGCUAAUACCGCAUAUUCUCUGAGGAGGAAAGCAGGGGACCUUCGGGCCUUGCGCUGAUGGAGUGGCCGAUAUCAGAUUAGCUAGUUGGUGGGGUAAAGGCUCACCAAGGCUACGAUCUGUAGCGGGUCUGAGAGGAUGAUCCGCCACACUGGGACUGGGAAACGGCCCAGACUCCUACGGGAGGCAGCAGUGGGGAAUUUUGGACAAUGGGCGAAAGCCUGAUCCAGCCAUGCCGCGUGAGUGAAGAAGGCCUUCGGGUUGUAAAGCUCUUUCGGACGGGAAGAAAUCAUGAGGGCUAAUAUCCCUUGUGGAUGACGGUACCGUAAUAAGAAGCACCGGCUAACUACGUGCCAGCCGCCGCAGUAA
rnacentral:rRNA from 1 species